GGGGAUGUGGCUCAGUGGUAGAGCGCCCGCUUUGCAUCAAGACUCUGUGUCUUUGAUCAAAUUGCGGGAGGCCCAGGUUUCGAUCACCUGCUUCUCCA